UCUGAAGGAAUAUCCUGAUUUAAUUCCUAUUCAUAGAAGCUUUGAAAAUGUAAUCCAAUACGAAUAUUGUCUCCCGAAAAGUGAUAGAGGAAAGACAAAAAACAUGCCCAGCACUGAGCCAAGCUGUGAGCAAGGUGUGUUUCAGCCCCAGACCUAUCAAUUUGGAACAGCCCCACCCACAGGACCAGGUGAGAUGACGCCUUGGCUGAUUCCAGAACCAGGGGGACAUGAUGGUCAGUUGCCCCAGCCUGGUCCGAUCAGUUGCGCCCAGUCAGAGAUGCCCAGCCUAUACCCGAAUAAUGGACAAGCCUGAGAUUACCAGGGACAAGCAAGCCUGUAGUCUGACGGUCAGAUUUAUUUACUCAUUGCAACAACGGAGAGGAAUAAACAUCAGAGGCACCAUGGGAUGUUUUGCCAAAGAGACAGUUAUUAUUGGUUUUGGAAAAGGGUGGUGUUUACAUCGAAUUGAUAAGAAGCAGUGCUUUGAUAAGUUCAAAGCAAGCCAGAGCUGUGUGUAAAGAGGUCAAGAUCAAGUCUGGAUUGCGACGUAGACCCAGGGUUCUGCUUUGUAGGAAACUGCAAACUUAAGAAAAUGUGGACCAUUGUAUUCAGAAAUCCUUAUUGGAAGCUCCACACCUGGAUUAAAAAUCAAGAUUCCAUCACUUUAUCACAAUAACUUAGAUCUUCCAAGCAAAGGUGAGCUGUUUUACUCUUGCCGAUAUCAUUUCGAACAGCAAGUUUCUGAUGGUGUUUGACUUUUGAGAACAAAGUUCACCACUGAGUAAGAAAGGGGUGCUCACCCAAAGGAGGGUUGUUAUGAUACUUUACAGCUGCAGCAAGUUCCUAGGAGAAAUAUUAUUUUCAUUAACUUUGCAGCUGGCCUCCCUCAUAUCUGUUAUUCAAGUCUCGUGAAUGGCAGAGCAGAUUUUUGCUUUCUCAGACAGCUAAUUUCUACUUUCUUAAUGUUAUUGAAUAUGUAGCAGUUUAUUA